GCCUGGUGCUCUCACCUCCAGCACCACGCGGCCGAGCGGCUCCCCGUCGGCGCCCACGUCCAGGACCCUUUCUGCAAGAUUCACUCAGCAGACAUGUUUUCAGAGCACCUGUUCUGUGUCAGGCCUGAGCUUUGCCCUGGGGAUCCAGAAGAAGUCGGGACAGACUGUUACAGUGCCACGUGAUGGCAGCUAAUGGAGGCCCCCAGCAAGGAACCAAGGCUGUCUGGCAACUACGUGAGGGAUUUGGACGCGGACCUUGGGCAGCCUGCCAACAGCCAUGUGAGUGAGCCUCAAAGUGGAUCCCGCAGGUCAAGUGGAGCCUUGAGGUGACUGCUGCCCCCAGGCUAUGGCCUGAUUGCAACCCCCGGGACACUGAGUCAGAGGCACCCAACUAAACCACACCUGGACACCUGACUCCAGAAACUGUGAGAUAAUAAAUUUGUGCUGGUUUAAGCCCCCCCAGUAUUGGGGCCAUUUGCUAUGCAGCAACAGAUAACUAAUACACAUGCAUCCUGCCCCCAGCCAGGGCCCUUUAAAGGCCAGCUCUGAUCCCAUAGCUCCACACACAGCCGGUCAUUGAUCUGCAAUCUCAGCAGGCCUGUGUCUUCAGCUGCUCUUGGCAAAGACCUCUCGGGCACAGUUGGACAGAACUGGCCCCAAGACACAGAGCUGCCCUGUCUUGGUGAAGACGGGCCGUGGGCUGGCUAUUUUUAUAUCAGUUCCUCUGAAGGUGCAUACAUGCAUGCUGCAAGAGAGCGGGAGCAGGGAGGAAGCCAUCAGGGAGAGGGCCUGAGCGGGGGUUUGGCCAUGGCACCGCAGUGGCCUCUGGGGAGGGACGGUAGCUCACUUUAUGACUCCGUGCCAUGCCCUGCACGAAGCAACUCGGCACUGAGACGUCGCCCCGAUCCUCAGGAGGACCCUGCCCAGGGAAAAUGAUCCCCAUCUUACAAAUGAUGGAAUGGGGACCCAGAGAGGGUAAGCGAUCUGUCCAAAGUCACACUAGUGUGGAGGGGCACCUGGGUGGCUCAGUUGGUUAAGCGUCCGACUUCGCCUCAGGUCAUGAUCUCUCAGUUCAAGGGUUCGAGCCCCACGUCGGGCUCUGUGCUGACAUCUCAGAGCCUGGAGCUUGCUUCGGAUUCUGUGUCUCCCUCUCUCUCUGCCCCCUCCCCUGCUCACACUCUGUCUCUCUCUCAAAAAAACAUGAUAAAUAAAUAAAUAAAUAAAUAAAAUAAAA